rfam:Camelus ferus isolate Naran unplaced genomic scaffold scaffold38966, whole genome shotgun sequence.
GGGUAUAGCUCAGUGGUAGAAGUGGAUGCCUAGCAUGCACAAGGUCCUGGGUUCAAUCCCCAGUAAACCUA